rnacentral:lncRNA from 1 species
AUUUCUGUAGGCCUUCUGGCCAAAAAUGAUUAUGAAAUUUCAAUUAAGAAAUAAGUUUGUAAUAUCAUUAUGAAUGGUGUUACUAUUUUUUGUGGAUAUUUGAACAAUGGUGUGUAUAUGUUAUCACAACCUGUUAAUGUAGUCUAUUCAACUGGCAAGCACCCUAGAUUAGAUAGUGUGUCAGAUAUCUACUUAUGGCACUGUAGGCUAGGUCAUAUAAACAAGAAUAGAAUAAACAGGUUGACUCAAGAGGAAAUCCUCGAAGUCAGUGAUUGUGAAUCACUUCCAACCUGUGAGUCCUGUCUUCUUGAUAAAAU